rnacentral:lncRNA from 1 species
AAAUUCUUGGGUCAAAACGACGUCGUUUUGUCUAGGAUGUUUAAAAAAAAAGAGCAGCGCUUCUUCUUCCUCACGUAGCUCCUUUCUUCCUUAGGAAAAACGUCGAGCACCUGGUGUGCAACUCCCAGGGGUCUCUCCCCCAGCUCCAAGGGACCUCUAAGCCUAUUUCCAUGGUUUUCUAGAGGUCGUGCGACCCCACUGAGGCUCCGCCACUGGACCAAAGGUCUCAAGUUCGAC